rnacentral:rRNA from 1 species
AUUGAACGCUGGCGGCACGCCUUACACAUGCAAGUCGAACGGCAGCACGGGAGCUUGCUCCUGGUGGCGAGUGGCGAACGGGUGAGUAAUACAUCGGAACGUACCCAGGAGUGGGGGAUAACGUAGCGAAAGUUACGCUAAUACCGCAUAUUCUGUGAGCAGGAAAGCGGGGGAUCGCAAGACCUCGCGCUCUUGGAGCGGCCGAUGUCGGAUUAGCUAGUUGGUGAGGUAAAAGCUCACCAAGGCGACGAUCCGUAGAAGGUAUGAGAGGAUGAUCUGCCACACUGGGACUGAGACACGGCCCAGACUCCUACGGGAGGCAGCAGUGGGGAAUUUUGGACAAUGGGGGCAACCCUGAUCCAGCCAUGCCGCGUGAGUGAAGAAGGCCUUCGGGUUGUAAAGCUCUUUCGGCGGGGAAGAAAUGGCAACGGCUAAUAUCCGUUGUUGAUGACGGUACCCGCAUAAGAAGCACCGGCUAACUACGUGCCAGCCGCCGCCGUAAAAC